GGUGGUUCUACGUGAUGGUGGUUCUGUCUGAUGGUGGUUCUGUCUGAUGGUGGUUCUGUCUGAUGGUGGUUCUACGUGAUGGUGGUUCUGUCUGAUGGUGGUUGUCCCUGCAGUGGUCCUGCACAAAUAAAUACACAAAGACACAGAACUUGCUUCGCUCCCUUUGAGACAAUAUUGAUGGAAUCUCCUCUGCCUUCACGGUGCGUUCACCCCAAAAGCGAAGCGCCUGGAAGGGGGCGUGGCUUAUCUCCGUCACGUGGCUCCGUAAAGACACUUAACGUUUCCGCCAUGGACGCGCGUCUGGAUGACUGCGGCUUCAGGCGGACCAGCAGCCGGUCUGAUGACCCGCUGUGUCGAGACCGCUUGGCUGGAGGACCAGCCCCGGUCCACCGCGAAGGCUGCAGGGAUGCGUCUCAAGCGCCGAGUCACGCAGACCACACAAACCUGGUUGAAAGUAAAGCUUUAAUAGCAGGAUGCUCCGGUGUUUCCUAUGCUGAAGCAGCUAAGUAA
ensembl:lncRNA